CGCUGUCGGACAAUGCGUCCGGCCGUGCGCUCUUAAUCGAAUUUACACGUGGAACUUUAUUUUUUUGUCUUUUUUUUUUUAUUUUUUUCAUACAAACUAAAAGGAAAAUCAAUUAUCCUAAGCGACUCAUCUCCCGAAUUGACGUCAGGUCAGACAGCAUGCAAUGCAAUUCUCUCUUGGUUGGAUCGCGUGAACCAUUGAAAACGCGUUGCCACCGUAUCUAUAAAAUAUUUACUUUUUAAACUUUAGUAUUUAGCUGGCCAGUGAUGAAUGGCUACCACUGCAGAGAAUGUUGGAGAUAUUCAGGCUCAGAUUGAUGAGAUUGAAGCGCUUUCUUCUAUCUAUGGGGACGACUGGUGCGUGAUUGACGAAGCAUCGAGAAUAUUCUGUAUUAAGAUCUCAGAUGACACCGAUCUGUCAAAAUGGACCAUAUGUUUGCAGGUAAUUCUUCCCCACGAUUACCCAAGUGAAGCACCGCCCAUUUACCAACUUAAUGCUACAUGGCUGAGAGGAUCAAAGAGAACAGAGCUGUCCAACAGCCUUGAAGAGAUAUAUGUGCAAAACGCUGGCGAAAGCAUCCUCUACCUAUGGAUAGAGAGGAUCCGUGAGUUCCUCCUGGAGAAGUCCCAACUGAAUGACUCAGAAACCCCUGAACCGCAGAAAGUGUCGGAGGAGGUGGAGGUAGACGAUGGCAGAAGCUGGACCGCUGAGAGUGAUUUCCCUGACCUUCGUGCCCUGAGACUAAACACAGAGGCUGCACAUCUUCUGUCUGAGCUGUCUGGAGACGAGGAGCUGCCUCCAGUUAAGCACGGGGAACCAAUCACGGACAGACGCAGCACGUUCCAGCCCCACCUCGCUCCCGUCGUCACACCCAGACAGGUCAAAAUGGUUCUAGACAAACUCUACGAGAAUAAGAAGAUAGCGAAUGCCACUCACAACAUUUAUGCAUACAGGAUAUACUGUGAGGACAGACAGACCUUCCUGCAGGACUGUGAGGACGACGGCGAGACGGCCGCCGGUGGGAGGCUUCUUCACCUCUUACAGAUCCUGGAUGUUCGAAACGUGAUGGUGGUGGUGUCCAGGUGGUAUGGUGGGAUCCUGCUUGGACCAGAUCGUUUCAAGCACAUCAACAACUGUGCGAGGCACAUCCUGGUUCAGGAGAACUACAUAGAUUCAGUGCUGUUUUGAGGAACAAGUACAUACUUUUCCUCCGACAUCUUCCUUGUGGCCGGACCCAAGUGGAAGACCUGUGCACAUCAAAGUCAUCUUGCCUGGAACCCUGUCACGACCCUGACUUCAAUGAAGAAGUCCACACGCAUCUGCUGUGACCUUAGACCAGCUGAAGAGCUGACACAACACCUAACAAAAUGAAGGCCUGGCCUCCCCUGUAUUGCCGAGACAUGUGAUGUCAUUAUGUGGGUCUGCCAGAGAGAGGAUGCAUGCCAACCUGGCAACCAGACUGAGGGAUGCCUGUUGUUGAGGAUGCUAGGACCGUCGCGAAGCAGUGUUAUUAGAAAGAUGCUGGACUAUGUAUUGAUUAUAAGCAUCUUUUUAUGUUAGUCUACAGUUUGGAGUUGAGUCUACUGCCUACAGUCAACGCUGUCUGCAGUCUGCUCAUCUUGACAACAUCAUCUUAGCUUACGAACUUUACUAUAACAUAAAAGCUUUUUUUACAAGCUUUUUUUACAAAAGCUUGUAAAAACGCCACUUAUAGCCUGUGUGUUACCUAGUUAUAGAAAGUUAUUCUAAAUAAGAGUAUACCUUGUGAAGACAAUCAAUGGUCACCCCAAUUUCUACUUUGGAACAUCUGCAAAGAAUUGGAGGUUUGGAAGAAAGGACCAUUUUCAACUCUGCGGUGGGCUACAUCUACCUGCCCGGUGAGCCUGUAUAUAUGCUUAGAACAUCUUUAGGACAUAUCGAUCGAACUCCCUGCUUCGUUGUAUAAUAAACUGCUUCUGUUUUAUAUAUCA